AUUGAGUUGCCAUUUCUCUUUUAGCCUUCUUCAUUCAAUAUGAAACAAUUCUCAACUUUUUCUUGACUUUCAUGAUUUUGACCUGAGAAGACUCUAGGCCAGUGAGAUUAAGCAAAUACUUCUGAGAUCGUGCAAGGAACUAUUGAAGCUGACAAAUGCAGUAUGGAAUUUCACAAGCCGCCCUUUCUAGCAGAGAAAGCUGAGUGUGCAGUACUUGAGGCAUCAGGAAAUAAAAACACCUGGUUACAAUUUAUCGCCA